AACGCGAAGAACCUUACCUGGGCUAGAAAACACGCGGACCUGGUAGAAAUAUCGGGGUGCUCUUCGGAGAACGCGCGGUUAGGUGCUGCAUGGCUGUCGUCAGCUCGUGUCGUGAGAUGUUGGGUUAAGUCCCGCAACGAGCGCAACCCUUGUCCUUAGUUGCCAUCAUUCAGUUGGGAACUCUAAGGAGACCGCCGGUGACAAACCGGAGGAAGGUGGGGAUGACGUCAAGUCAUCAUGGCCUUUAUGGCCAGGGCUACACACGUGCUACAAUGGCAGGUACAGAGGGAAGCCAACGCGCGAGCGGGAGCCAAUCCCAGAAAGCCUGUCGUAGUCCGGAUCGGAGUCUGCAACUCGACUCCGUGAAGUCGGAAUCGCUAGUAAUCGCAGAUCAGCAUUGCUGCGGUGAAUACGUUCCCGGGCCUUGUACACACCGGAGUA
rnacentral:rRNA from 1 species